CAUCAUCUCAAAGCGGAUAUCCACAUAAUCUCUUUCCAGGAUCGCGAAACAACACUCGAUCAUCGCGGCAUCACCGGCGAAAGGGUAAGUUUGCCGAUAAUCAAACUCGAUAUCCGAGUCAUCAGAAUUAGGUUCCGGUUGUUCUCCCGGAUUUCUGCUCAACGCGUCAGCAAUUACAUUCUCCUUGCCAGUCAACUUGCGGCUUAGAUACGCAAUAGGACGCCAGUUUGUUGGCACACCAGUUGGUUUAUCCUUGGGACAUUGCAUAAGAACUGCACCCACAGCAAUAGUACUUGCAUCGACGAUAACACGCGACAAAGCCUCCGGGUCAUAACGGGCCAAGACCGGCGCCGUCACCAAGGCCUCCUUCAAUUGUUCCACAGACCUGCACUGAUCCGUUCCCCAUUCAAAGGGCCAAAUUCUUUAACCGCCUGGAUCUUCUCUGGAUCCGUACUUAUACCAAAUUGAUCGACCGUGUGACCCAAGAACGUUAUUGAAUUUACAAAUAAUUCUGUUUUUUCAGGAUUAAUGGUCCAGCCGC